AAGUCGAACGAGGUGGCCCACAGAAUUUGAUAGAAACUUUGAGAGCUUGCUCGAGAAGUGGAAAGAGAAGGACGUGGAAUUUCCACCUAGUGGCAAACGGGUGAGUAACACGUGGGUUACCUACCUCUUAGAUGGGGAUACCAAUUGGAAACGAUUGUUAAUACCGAAUGUGAUCUACGGAUUAAAGGAAGCCUUUAAAGCUUCGCUAAGAGAUGGGCAUGCGUUCCAUUAGUUAGUUGGCGGGGUAACGGCCCACCAAGACAACGAUGGAUAGGGGUUCUGAGAGGAAGGUCCCCCACAUUGGAACUGAGACACGGUCCAAACUCCUACGGGAGGCAGCAGUGAGGAAUAUUGGUCAAUGGACGAGAGUCUGAACCAGCCAAGUAGCGUGAAGGAUGACUGCCCUAUGGGUUGUAAACUUCUUUUAUAUGGGAAUAAAAUGUUCCACGUGUGGGAUUUUGUAUGUACCAUAUGAAUAAGGAUCGGCUAACUCCGUGCCAGCAGCCGCGGUAAUACGGAGGAUCCGAGCGUUAUCCGGAUUUAUUGGGUUUAAAGGGAGCGUAGGUGGAUUGUUAAGUCAGUUGUGAAAGUUUGCGGCUCAACCGUAAAAUUGCAGUUGAAACUGGCAGUCUUGAGUACAGUAGAGGUGGGCGGAAUUCGUGGUGUAGCGGUGAAAUGCUUAGAUAUCACGAAGAACUCCGAUUGCGAAGGCAGCUCACUGGACUGCAACUGACACUGAGGCUCGAAAGUGUGGGUAUCAAACAGGAUUAGAUACCCUGGUAGUCCACACAGUAAACGAUGAAUACUCGCUGUUUGCGAUAUACGGCAAGCGGCCAAGCGAAAGCAUU
rnacentral:rRNA from 1 species